UGAGGAAUAUUGGUCAAUGGUCGGGAGACUGAACCAGCCAAGCCGCGUGAGGGAUGAAGGUGCUAAGCAUUGUAAACCUCUUUUGUCAGGGAACAAAGGCAUCCACGAGUGGGUGUGUGAGUGUACCUGAAGAAAAAGCAUCGGCUAACUCCGUGCCAGCAGCCGCGGUAAUACGGAGGAUGCGAGCGUUAUCCGGAUUUAUUGGGUUUAAAGGGUGCGUAGGCGGCCUGUUAAGUCAGCGGUAAAAGCCCGGGGCUCAACCCGGCGAGCGUUGAACUGGCUGGCUGGAGUUGGCGAGAGGUAUGCGGAAUGCGCGGUGUAGCGGUGAAAUGCUUAGAUAUCGCGCAGAACUCCGAUUGCGAAGGCAGCAUGCCGGCGCCACACUGGCGCUGAGGCACGAAAGGCGUGGGGAUCAAACAGGAUUAGAUACC
rnacentral:rRNA from 1 species